rnacentral:lncRNA from 1 species
UGUUCUUUCAAAUUUGACACUCAGUUUUUCAUUAUCUUACAAAAACAUUAUUUUGUGUAGCGCCCUCUGCAACAGAACUCAACUAUCCCUUUAAGCGUAGUAAAGCAUUGUAUAGAGUGGAGAGGUACAUUAAUUCAAGGAUUACAAGGUGCAGCCUCUUCGCAAUGUGAUGCAAGGGCUAAGAGUACAUUUUAUUGAAUCUGUCCACAAAAAAGGGGCAUAACAGAACACAGGCUUGGUGAAUUAUUGAAUCUCACCUGAAUCUCUACUGAACAAAAUACCUUAUGGUAUAUGCAUUUCAUUUUCAAAGUGGUUCUUUGAAAUUGAUGGAAUCGAUUGGUGGUGUGGCUUCAAGUCGUACAUGUAUGUGACACCACACAUAUGUACAUUUAAAGUCACAGAGUCAGGCUAUUACGAGUGGACAAAUUUAUGCAGAAAAGUCAAAUUGGUUAGAUAGUGAUACAAAUCAGUCGUCGGAAGAAAAGAAAAACCUGUGGUAAUAGGCUUUAGACUUUAAAGCUUUGUUUAAAACUAGUAUACAGAUCAGGCUUACAUUAGCUAGUGUAACAUAUAUUUAUGCCUAUUUUCAUCAUAGAAAUUGAUAUAUGCCAUGUAUGUAAUAUUACAUUUGAUGAGUGUGUGUAGUUCUAUUAAAAAGUACUACCAAAAUUUAUGUCAACAAUUUAACACCAGUACAUAGGAAAAAAGACCAUUUGGGAUUUUUUUUCCCAGACCAACAUUGUAACAAAAUUUAAAUGAUAUUGCAAUAUUUAUUUUAAUAUCUUUGUUUUGAGAUUUGAGUAGAGAAUUUUCUUUGUGUUCAUGCAAUGCAUCUCCAAUUUAAUUUUCAAAUAAGCCUGUUCUAUUUCUACAUUUAUCAAUGUAAGGCUUUUUUCUUUCCUUUUUAAAUAUUCUGGGAUGAAAGCAGUUUAUUCACUUGACCUCGAUCAGAAUGAUAAGAAUUUGAAUCCUUAUUGCCCUUGUAAUAAACCAAGACUUGUUUUUGUCUUUCUCUCUCUCUCUGACUCUAUCUAUUCCUUCUCCCCCACCCUCUCUCUUUCCUAAUAAACUUAGAUGUAGUAAAUAGGUACCUGGAAGGAAGGUUAUCGAUAACAUAUCUAUAAAAUUUGUUUUCUUGAAUAUAAUAUACAUGUACAUGUAUUUUUUUCAUUGAAUACACUGACCGAGCACAAAAAGUCAUUUUAGCCCAGCUAAAGCUUGGGUUGUGAAUGGAGCGCCUCGUGGGGCCAACAAUGUGAAAUUAAUUGACAUAUUUAUAUAAUGAACUUGAUCCUCUAUUGUCAUGUGUUAAUGAGCUGUGAAUAACAAAUACUAGAACAAGCAUUUUGAUCAAAAAUACUAUGUUAUAUUGUAUUGUAAAUGAUUUUAAUUUUUUUUAUUUUUUAGUUUGUUUGUAUAUUUGCUGAAAUUUGUGAUGAGAUCAGUACUCUUCUAUUUAAUGAAAGUCAAUUUGAUGGACUGUGAAUUUGAUGGACUGUGAAUUUGAUGGACUGUGAAUUUAUAUGACUAGGAAAGGUUCUCGCCCUGCAGGUAUAUAUUUCCCCUUGGUGUUAAUUGAACGAGCCACUUCAGAGAUACUAUUUGGGCAUGGGCAGAUAAAGGUCAUUUGUUCAUAACGAGAUGACUGCUUGGUAUGUGUUCAUGAAAGUUAUGCAAUCAUCAUUCAUUUAUACACCGGCAGUACUUUCUAUGAUACACAGGUGUAUCUUUUCAAGGGUGCAAAUAAAAACUAUUGAUGAAGCACCUCCAUGACUUUGGCAGUGAUUAUGCUAUAAUACAUCAAGUGGGACGUCUCCAUGUUUAAAAGGUCUGUGGAUAUUUGGGAGUCAUGUGUACAGGUGCUAUCCCCGUGGGACGUCUCCAUGUUUAAAGGGUCUGUGGAUAUUUGGGAGUCAUGUGUACAGGUGCUAUCCCCGAAGUGGUAUGUUAAGAGGCCAUGGUGCAUUACAGUUUGAAGGGUUUAAAAUGACUAAAGCCGCCUAGCAUGUUGUUUGAUAGUGUUGUUGUCAGAUUUAGUACUGUUGAUCUUGUAUUUGACAAAGAGAAUCCUCCAUCUCUUUGUUGAGGUUGAAGUGUGUAUGGAGGUGUCGGGUUUGAAGGUCAUAGAAGGUAGCUAGAAAGGGAAAAACAUCGAGGUCCUUUUUCUGAAAAGGAAAGUUUUUAAUAGGAGCCUCUUUUUCAGAUCUUGUCGUGACAGAGUAAAAUUGCUGUUCCACCAUAUUUAUUUUAAUGACAAAGAAGUUGUAGGGAUUGGUAAUUUGUCUUUCAAAUAGUUACGUGCCUCCUUUGCGGAAAUGUGGCAUGGUAUUAAUUUUGUUCAGUAGUUUCGCCAAUUUAUUCCUAAUGCAUAUUUUUUUUUUUUAUUAAAGUCUCUUUAUUCUAAUUUCUCGUGUUUGUAUGCAAUGAUGUUAGAAAAUUGUAGAUACAUGUAUUUUCUAUUUUCUAUGAAAUAUUUGUUACUUUUAAUGAUUUCUACUUCUUACGUACGUGUACAUACUCCACAUGCUGUUUACAAUCAUUAGCUUUAUAUGCUAGUUAGGUUUACAAAUGACAGAUAGGUCAACAAUCGAUAGUUAUUAUUUCUAACUAGAUAAUAGAUUUUCAUUGUCGUCAUAACCUUGUUUAAAACUGAUUUCAUGUUUUUCAUUAUUCAAAAUUCACAAUCCGUUCUUCUUCUUCUUCCAUUAAUCUUAUAAGGGUAAUGUAGCCCAUCACAAAGACAUGUAGAAAGAUGUUUGUAUGCAGGCACACUUAACACCGGAUUUACACCCUGCUCCUUGCAAGAGCAUAUUAAAGUGUAGUGUAUUAACGGGCAAAGGGUGUGACUCAUCUACACACAGGGCCUCUAGUUAACGUUCUAGUCAGAGGAACAGAGUUUGUUUCCUCUGAACCCAAGCCUGCAUCGAUAAGAGAGGGAAGGGGCGCAGCGCACUUACACACUAUGCAACAACAAUCAUAUUUUCAUUUUUGUCUGCUCGGCCAGCGUGGGACUCAAACCCUCGCAUGCCAGAAGUCAUGCAUGAGAGACAGACCGCCUCGAGUAAACUAUACACUCAAUAUUAAUGGAUUCACCUCAAAUGUAAAUGGCGAUUAGUGUUUAUUACAAGUAGCUUUCGAUCUCUCAGUGCUAUCUAAAUGUAUGGAAACUCUGAUGAUCUAAUAUAUAUUGAAGUUACAGUAAAUAAAACCAGUAGAAAUUUCAAAGUCAUGUAA